rnacentral:rRNA from 1 species
UACGAAGGGGGCUAGCGUUGUUCGGAAUUACUGGGCGUAAAGCGCGCGCAGGCGGCUAUCCAAGUCAGUGGUGAAAGCCCGGAGCUCAACUCCGGAACUGCCAUUGAAACUGUUUAGCUUGAGGACGAGAGAGGUGAGUGGAAUUCCCAGUGUAGAGGUGAAAUUCGUAGAUAUUGGGAAGAACACCAGUGGCGAAGGCGGCUCACUGGCUCGUAUCUGACGCUCAGGCGCGACAGCGUGGGGAUCAAACAGG